rnacentral:lncRNA from 1 species
CAGCUGGCUGUCACAGAGCUGCUGGAAGUCUCCCUAUCUCUUCAAGAAGUGCCAACACAGAGGAGGCAGAGUCAUGGCAUCGCUGCUGUGCAACGCCCGUGAGUGUCCCGGCAGAGGGGUGCGUGCAGGGCGCUGGGUGGAGUCCAUUCAUCCUCCAUCCUGGGUCCCAGAGGCUGGAGGGAGGGAGGUCCCCUCGGCGAUGCAGCCUGCUCUGCCCCCAGGCAUCCAGCUCACGGAAACGCUGGAGAAGAUGCAGCAAGGGACGCUGAUGAGGAAAGUCAAAUCCAAGAGCUGGAAGAAGCAGAGGUACUUCAAGCUGCAGGAUGACUGCAUGACCAUCUGGUACCAAUCCAAGAGGACGGGCAAAACUGAGUCUGCCUAGAGUACUGGGAUUCAAGGGAGGCUGUGUUUGUGUCAGGAUCUUCUCAUCCUGACACAUCAUCAGGAUAUUCUAUCAUGAAUAGGAGGAUGGGUAGUUCAGUGGGUGAGUGGGUGGAUGGGUGGGUGAAUGAAUGGAUGGAUGGAUGAAUAGCUGCAUGGAUGGAUAGAUG